UGGAACUUCAACCAAAUUUGCAUCAAAGCAUCUAGAAUGAAACAAAGAAUUCUAGAUGAUUAAAUUCCAAAACUUUGUAGCAGUUGCAAUAUAGGGUGCAUAGGCCAAAACUUUACAGAUGUGUGAAGAAUGGGUGGAACCAAUUAUAUCUACAUGGCAUAACCAUGACUAUACUCCAAUGGUUUGCAAGAAACAUGAGAAAUUAUAACAUAAUGAAAAAAACAAUGGAGACAACAUUAGAGAACUUUUGGCAACAGAUAAAGCAAGUACAUCAAAGGUCACUUUGUGUCAAAUGGACUUCAAAGAAUAUAAAGGGAGUAGAUAAGAAGUUCAUUUCUCCUACCAUAAGAUGAACCAGUGAAUAUUCCCAUGAGGAAAGGUUGUAGAUGAGUCACUCAGACACACACACACGGAGUCAGGAAAAGUGGUUCUAAAUAUUUUGAUGAAAUUCAUGAAAAGCUUUUAUAGUGAACUUGGCCAUUAAGAACUUUUACCUUAAUCAUUGAUAUAGUUUUCACAGCAAAAGAAACCCUUUUGUCCCAGGUGCAAGUGCAUAGAUCUUUCGGAGUGUCCACAUGGUACGCCAAAAGUCGGGUGACAAACAUACCAAGAG
rnacentral:lncRNA from 1 species